UUUGUAUUCGAGAGCUGGUUUGACUCACCUACUCUGUAGCCACAAGACAGAUGACUGCUGCUGUGCAGAAAGGGGUCCCCAUUUUCUGACUGAGGAGCUUCUGUAACAUCCAGCUGAGACUACCUUUGAUAGAUUUGAUGUUUCUAGGGAACAAGGACUGUUGCCAGAAUGUUUUCUGCCGCUCACUCAGUUCUGGUCAUCUUCUUAAUACUUGGAGGCACCAGUGGUGACUCAGUGAACCAAACAGAAGGCCAGUGACUGUCUUAGAGGGGGCUCUCAUGACCCUGAACUGCACUUACCAGGCCACGUAUACAACUUCCUAUCUUUUCUGGUACCUCCAGCAUCUCAACAAAGCUCCUCAACUCCUCCUGAAGGGUUUAACAGCAGACAAGAAGUGUCUUAAAAGUCAAAAGCAUGAAGCUACUUGAGGAUUUGCUCGUGAUUGGCUGAGCCCAGCAGAAAGGCUUUGUGCAUUAGAGAAGAACUAAGACACAGAGGCAGCUCCUCAGGGGAGAAGAUUUGGAAUCAUUAAAAUUGCAUCAAAGGGCUGCGUGGAGAAGACUGAGUGGAGCAGAGUACUCAGACCCUGAGAACCCAGGAGGGGGGCAGUCUCAGCCUCAACUGCAGCCACACCGUCAGCGGCUUCAGAGGGCUACAGUGGUAUAGACAAGACCCCGGGAAGGGCCCUGAACUCCUCUUCCUUCUUUACUCAGCUGGGGAUGAAAAGCAGAAAGACUGAGAGCCACCUUGUUAAAGAAGGGAAGUUCUCUGCACAUCGAAGCCCCCAAACCUGAAGACUCAGCCACUUACCUCUGCGCUGUGCAGACACAGUGCUCCCCAGGCACCUGCAGACUGUACCCAAACCCUGAGGCUGCGGCUCUAGAAUAAGGGUAUCUUUGGUGUUUUCCUGCCUCCUGAGCACCCAGAGCCUCUUCCCAAGUGGUCCUAUGGAGAACGAACUCUUGUGACGCAGCCAGACAGCAGAGAUUACUGGGCAUUCUGCCCAGGAUCCUAGACAGUCCCCCACAUGUGUCCAUGAACCAGGCUGCUCUUUUAAACAGCCCAGAGCUUCCCCCGUGUAGAUUCAAAAGGGAUAGUGGUGGUAUUGGAGUCUUGGUUUCCAGUCUUGGGCCCCUUGAAAAGAUGCCACAGGAAUGCACCUUCUUCCCUGAAAUAAAUUUUUUGGCAUUCUCUUAUAAUAAUCUGGCCACAAGUCUGUAAGAGAAUUUUUCCCAUUUUAGUAUAUUCUCAAAGGUCAUGUCUCCACCAGCGAUAUUACUAAAUUUUUCUUCUCCUUAAUAAUCAAGUUAGUUGACUGUCUAGACUUACUGUCUCCAUUUCCUCAAGUCCCAGUCCUCUUCUCCUUGAACCUGACUUCUGUGAGCAUUACUCUGAGAGAAGCUCUCACUUAAACCAGUGGCUUUGGUGGUGAUAAAGCCAAUGAUUAUUUUUCAACCUCGUCUCAUCUGAGAUUCUCACUUUC